rnacentral:sRNA from 1 species
AUAUUCACAUUUUAAGAAAAGUGAAAUGUAAAUUUACCAGCAUAUCAAAAUCUAUUAUCAUUUUAUAAGAUUUUCGCAACCAGUUUUGUUUCGGUUUUGUUUUUCCUGGAUCGGUUAGCAAUUUAUAUAUAUAUAUAU